rnacentral:lncRNA from 1 species
GGAUUUUUCUAUUCUUUUGUUUGUUUUAUGCAAUAAAACUCGGUUACUUAAUUUAAAAUCCAUUUUAUAGAGUUAUUAGGUAUACUGGGAAGAAAAUAGUGAUAUGAAAACCAAGAUAGUGGGACUGAAUAUGGGAACAGUUCAGACACAGAAGAAAGUGGAAUGAUGCACCCCAAGAUGCCACGCAGACGUAAUUACACAUCAGGCUUCUUGAAACAGAACAGCAAGCUCUGAAACACAGGUAGAGCUGCUGUUCAUGAAAUGGUAGUGGGAGACUGAUGUUAAAGUCAGGUAUUUCCUUACUGUUUAAGCUUGUGAGCAAGUUUCAGUUGAGUUACUUGGACUUCUUAGCUCAGACAGUCUGGAUAGCAGACCAGAUGCCACACAGAUGGUCAUUCUGGUUCAUCCUUCUUUUCAAGAUCUCUGAAUUAUGAUUGGGAAUAAUGGAUCCCUCUUAAAUGUGAAACCUUGGCCUACUUGAUUUCAGAUGUUCAGACCUUCAGACAAAACAAGUGUCAUGUAUAUCACAGCAAAUUCUGAAAACUGAUAACAGUGAGGAAA